UAACCUGCCUCUUAGCGGGGGAUAACUAUUGGAAACGAUAGCUAAUACCGCAUAAAAGUCGACAUUGCAUGAUGUUGACUUGAAAGGUGCAACUGCAUCACUAAGAGAUGGACCUGCGUUGUAUUAGCUAGUUGGUGAGGUAACGGCUCACCAAGGCGACGAUACAUAGCCGACCUGAGAGGGUGAUCGGCCACACUGGGACUGAGACACGGCCCAG
rnacentral:rRNA from 1 species